UGUACACGGACCGCAUGAUCUGUGUACCAAGCUUUAUGUGCUGAAAGAUGGUCUCGCGUCUGAUUAGCUAGUUGGUGAGGUAACGGCUCACCAAGGCGACGAUCAGUAGCCGGUCUGAGAGGAUGAACGGCCACAUUGGGACUGAGAUACGGCCCAGACUCCUACGGGAGGCAGCAGUGGGGAAUAUUGGGCAAUGGGGGAAACCCUGACCCAGCAACGCCGCGUGAAGGAAGAAGGCCUUCGGGUUGUAAACUUCUUUUACCAGGGACGAAGAACGUGACGGUACCUGGAGAAAAAGCAACGGCUAACUACGUG
rnacentral:rRNA from 1 species